AUUCAGUUCUCAUAUUUCCUUUAUGUGAGUCCUGAUGAUGGAGCUCAGAUCCUUAAUCUCCUUAACCCGAACGACCCUUCUGAGCCAGCCCACCAGCAUUUAACGUGCUUUUUUUAUGAAUGACAAUUCUUAAAUAAGUUUUAUAUUUUGUAAUUUUCUAUGUAUACUUUUUCCAACAAACUAAUGGAUAGACGGGGCUUGAAGGAUGGCUCAAUAGUUGUUUACUUGCUGUGAUUGCAAAGAGAGGACCUGGCUUGAAGUCACAGCACCCAUGUGGUGACUCACAGCCAUCAGUAACUCCAGUUCCUCGUGAUCUGACACCCUCUUCUGGGCUCUGAACAUUGUGUAUACACACUACAGGCAAAAUACAUAAGAUAAUAAGCCUUUAAAAGAAUGAAGAUAUACUGGAUAAAACUUGUAAGUGUAAUUUUCCCCAUAAGUGCAAGUGUAUAUAGAUGCAUACCUGCCCUUGCAUCAGGCACCAUAGUGUAUACCUUUUAUUCCAACACUGGGGACAGAGGCUAGAAAAGUAUAACACUAAAUAUAGGGGUUUUGAAUACAAUUUGUGAGACUUGAGAAAAGACCAUUUACAACCAAAUUAAGUUGUCACUGUUAAAACAUGAGAGGUCCAGGUGUGCCGGCACACACCUUUUAUUUUACCACUUGGAAGGAGGAAAGAGUUAGGCAGGUCUGUCUGGAUUCCAGGCCAGUCAGGGAUACUGAGACCCUGCCUCAAAAAAGGUGGGGGUGGGGUGGGGCGCUAGUUUAACAUAGCUACUUUUAGGUCAGCCCGAGCUACAUGAAACUCAGAAAAAAAAUGUUGUGAAGAGGUAAAAAUUCUAAAUUUUCUUAUACAAUUGGAUUUUGCAAACGUGAGUGUAAAUACCUUAAGCAAAUUAACAUAUGCAAAUAAAAUAUUCCUGAAAUGAUCACAAAAAAUUAAGUACAUGUUACUCAUGUUUAAUGUUUAUAAUACUUGCCUAUUCUUACUCAAGACUUCUUGACUG
rnacentral:lncRNA from 1 species